GGAGGAGUUGUGGAAGAUUUGCAGACCCUGUAAUUUUGCAGCUGAAGCUGACGACUGACAGGCGACCACAGCUCUGGUGGCUGAGGAGUGAACGGGACGACUCCGAGCUGUCUGAGGGAGAUCUACAAGCAAGCUGCAAGAUCCAUGUCUCUCCUGUACUGAGGGCCCUGGAGCUGGAUGCAGGACUCCAGAUGUGGUCUCACCACAGUGGAGCAGAGGGGCAGAAUCACCUCCCUUGACCUGCAAUCUGCAAAACACCAGACUUACCUUACAACACCACCAGACUUACUUCAUUGCAUAUGUGAAGAUACCUUUCUCCAGGAAAUCCCAGACAAAGGUAUGUAAAGGUUCAAGUCUGAUCUAAGGUUGUCAUUUGCACGACUUCACUGCUAAUGAAGAGACAUUCAUGAACAUCAUCAAAGAGUGACAUGAUCCACCUGCUCCGGUCUCCCCUUUCAUAACGGAUGAACUGUUUGUUGAAGGUAAUUCUUCAGCAUGGGAGUUGAAUGAGAAGCUCUUGUGUUGUCAUAUCUUUACAUACCUUCCACAGUCCCUUGGUCCCUUGAACCCAUAUGCGGUUGCACACAUUGACAGACGUGAGAAGGUGUAGGAAGAGGGAAGAGCAGUUCCUGUCCACUUCCCAAGCUAGGACUCUGGUGUUUGGAAAAGAGGGUCCACUGAGAAAAGACAGAUGAAGAGGAAGGAUGUGGUGUUCAAGAAAAAUUUGGUCUCUUUAUGCCUGGAUAAUUAAUAUCCUCAUGAGAUAGUCAUCUGACCUAUUUUUAUGAUAUGGAUUAAAGUAAAUCCUAUAAUCCUGUGCCGAUGCCUCCAAGUCAGAGCUGAAGGAGAUCAACAAAGAGUUGUGUCGAUGUCCCAGCCCUAGAAAAACAGGAGAUACUCAAGAGCAGAGACACCACUGUGUGUGGGAGCUACAGCACAAAGAAAACUGGGUGGAGUGGAGGCUGGCACAUGGUCAUCUGUUUUGAGAGAAAGCUGCAGAGGAAUUGCAGCAUAUCACCAUCAUGGAGUUUCUAUCCAGUUCUUUGGGUCAGAACAAAUUAAUCAGGUUUAAUAAGAAACAUUUUGAGGAAAAAAUGUCGGAAGAAGAGAAGAUAAAGAGAGGCAGAGGGAAAAAUGUGCUGAGACACAUUGGGGAAGAGCAGAAAAUAUGAGGAUGGUGACUAUACCCGAUCCAAACGAGAAGGCAAGCAUAGCAAGAUGUGAAGUGAUACAAAAUGGGAUACGAGAAACACAGAUAGAAAAAAAUCUGAAUUACCAGAAAUUUUCUGUACUUCUAUGCACAUCUAUGUGUACGUGUAUGUUUAAUAUCUUCACAUGUAUAAAAUGCCCAUAUUUAUCCUCAAAAUGCAAAUAAACAGCUUUAAGAAGCUACAGUAAACUAAACACUAAUGUUCACCUGUACUCGUGCUCUAAAAGAAUAAGGCUUUGUCUCUACUAGCAAUUACGAUGGGCAAAUAUGAGAGGAUCUGUAGAGGGAACCAGUGUGCACUGAAGACCCAUUGACAGCAUUAUAUGCAUUUCAGGCAGUUCUGCUUAGGAAAAGUUCUAGUCCAGCCCUGUGGGCUGAAUGCCCAUUCCCAGCUGGAGCAUGUCAUGUGUUGCUUACAGGGUGUUUCUCUUUCUUUAGCUGGUUUGUGUGAUUCAGGACUGUUCCAUGUUAUAAACCAGUAAGGCACAGUGAGCGGGAAUGACAGGAAGACUCAAACGCUAAUGAAGACUUUCUGCGAGAAAUUAAACAAACAUUCUUUAUCCUUUCCAUGCUGCAGCCUGUAUAGCUGUUAGUAAACCCCAAACCUGAUGGUUUUGUACAAAGCCAUUUUAUGUACAAGCAAGUCAGAUCUUGAAACUUAUUCAAGAUCUACAUUAUGCUUGUAUAACAAACUAAGACUCCAAAAGGUUUGUGCAUUAUUAAUGAGGGAGUGGAAGUGCUCUAGAAUCAGCUUUCAUCUAAAUAAAGGUGAUGAUGUUUAUCUGUACCCUUUGUAUUCAUUGUUGUCUUGAGUGCACAGUGCUUCCUGUUGGUAUGUAUGUUAUCGAUUUGCUGACUAAUCUUUUUAUCUGAUCAAUAUUGAUUGUAACUCUCAGUCUAUAACCUUUAGACAUAGUGAUAUUGUGGCUAAAUAAAAUACAGAUGCA